UACGUAGGGUGCAAGCGUUGUCCGGAAUUAUUGGGCGUAAAGAGCUCGUAGGCGGUUUGUUGCGUCGGCUGUGAAAUCCCGAGGCUCAACCUCGGGUCUGCAGUCGAUACGAGCAAACUAGAGUGUUGCAGGGGAGACUGGAAUUCCUGGUGUAGCGGUGAAAUGCGCAGAUAUCAGGAGGAACACCGGUGGCGAAGGCGGGGUCUCUGGGCAACAAC
rnacentral:rRNA from 1 species